rnacentral:rRNA from 1 species
GUAAAGCGCGCGCAGGCGGUCUCUUAAGUCUGAUGUGAAAGCCCACGGCUCAACCGUGGAGGGUCAUUGGAAACUGGGAGACUUGAGUGCAGGAGAGAAAAGUGGAAUUCCACGUGUAGCGGUGAAAUGCGUAGAGAUGUGGAGGAACACCAGUGGCGAAGGCGGCUUUUUGGCCUGUAACUGACGCUGAGGCGCGAAAGCGUGGGGAGCAAACAGGAUUAGAUACCCUGGUAGUCCACGCCGUAAACGAUGAGUGCUAGGUGUUGGGGGGUUCCACCCUCAGUGCUGAAGUUAACACAUUAAGCACUCCGCCUGGGGAGUACGACCGCAAGGUUGAAACUCAAAGGAAUUGACGGGGGCCCGCACAAGCAGUGGAGCAUGUGGUUUAAUUCGAAGCAACGCGAAGAACCUUACCAGGUCUUGACAUCCUCUGACCACUCUAGAGAUAGAGCUUUCCCCUUCGGGGGACAGAGUGACAGGUGGUGCAUGGUUGUCGUCAGCUCGUGUCGUGAGAUGUUGGGUUAAGUCCCGCAACGAGCGCAACCCUUGACCUUAGUUGCCAGCAUUCAGUUGGGCACUCUAAGGUGACUGCCGGUGACAAACCGGAGGAAGGUGGGGAUGACGUCAAAUCAUCAUGCCCCUUAUGACCUGGGCUACACACGUGCUACAAUGGAUGGUACAAAGGGUUGCGAAGCCGCGAGGCCAAGCCAAUCCCAAAAAGCCAUUCUCAGUUCGGAUUGUAGGCUGCAACUCGCCUACAUGAAGCCGGAAUUGCUAGUAAUCGCGAUCAGCUGCCGCGA